rnacentral:rRNA from 1 species
GAUGAACGCUAGCGGGAGGCUUAACACAUGCAAGUCGAGGGGUACCCCGAUUUAUCGGGGGAGACCGGCGGACGGGUGCGUAACGCGUAUGCAACCUGCCUUAUACAGGGGGAUAGCCCGUGGAAACGCGGAUUAACACCCCAUAGUACAUAGAUGCUGCAUGGCAUCGAUGGGAAAACUGAGGUGGUAUAAGAUGGGCAUGCGUCUGAUUAGCUUGUUGGUAAGGUAACGGCUUACCAAGGCGACGAUCAGUAGGGGUUCUGAGAGGAUAAUCCCCCACACUGGUACUGAGACACGGACCAGACUCCUACGGGAGGCAGCAGUGAGGAAUAUUGGUCAAUGGGCGAAAGCCUGAACCAGCCAUUCCGCGUGAAGGAAGAAGGCCUUAUGGGUUGUAAACUUCUUUUCUGUAAGAAGAAUAGCCCCGAUGUAUCGGGGUAUGACGGUAUUAUAGGAAUAAGCAUCGGCUAACUCCGUGCCAGCAGCAGCCGCAGUAA